rnacentral:rRNA from 1 species
AUGCUCAAUGACAAAAUAAAUACAUGUGACCUAUUGACUAGGAAGAGUAUGCACCUUGAUUCCACUAAAUGUGUCCUAUGCAAUGUUGAAGAUAUGGAAGACAGAACUCGCCUUCUCUUUUCUUGCCCAUUUAGUCAAGGGUUUUGGUGGAAUAUUGGUUUUGAAUGGAACACAGAUAUGGAUAUCCAUGAUAUGAUAGUUGAUGCUAAAGAAAUAUACCAUCUUAGUAAUUCCAUGGAAAUUAUAAUUGUGGGCUGUUGGUGCAUCUGGAAUCAAGGAAAUGGCUUGAUAUUUGAAGGAAUUCCUUGCCGAAUCAAUGAAUGCGGAUAUGAUUUUAUCUGAACUUUGAAGUUAACCAUGCUGAGAGCCAAACCUAGUCUGAAGGAUGGCAUGUCAUCCUGGAUUGAUAAUUUUUUUUUCUCCUUUCAUUUACCUUCUUUUUUGUUUUCCUAG